GGAGGGUUAUCGAAGUGGUCAUAACGAGCCUGACUCGAAAUCAGGUUGCGAGCAAUCGCACGAGAGUUCGAAUCUCUCACCCUCCG
rnacentral:tRNA from 1 species